rnacentral:rRNA from 1 species
GACCAUCUCCUAAGGCUAAAUACUCUCUAGUGACCGAUAGUGAACCAGUACCGUGAGGGAAAGGUGAAAAGCACCCCGGAAGGGGAGUGAAAUAGAACCUGAAACCGUGUGCUUACAAGUAGUCAGAGCCCGUUAAUGGGUGAUGGCGUGCCUUUUGUAGAAUGAACCGGCGAGUUACGAUUUGAUGCAAGGUUAAGCAGUAAAUGUGGAGCCGUAGCGAAAGCGAGUCUGAAUAGGGCGUUUAGUAUUUGGUCGUAGACCCGAAACCAGGUGAUCUACCCUUGGUCAGGUUGAAGUUCAGGUAACACUGAAUGGAGGACCGAACCGACUUACGUUGAAAAGUGAGCGGAUGAACUGAGGGUAGCGGAGAAAUUCCAAUCGAACCUGGAGAUAGCUGGUUCUCUCCGAAAUAGCUUUAGGGCUAGCCUCAAGUGAUGAUUAUUGGAGGUAGAGCACUGUUUGGACGAGGGGCCCCUCUCGGGUUACCGAAUUCAGACAAACUCCGAAUGCCAAUUAAUUUAACUUGGGAGUCAGAACAUGGGUGAUAAGGUCCGUGUUCGAAAGGGAAACAGCCCAGACCACCAGCUAAGGUCCCAAAAUAUAUG